AUGCCUCAGCCAUUAUUCUCUCUCUCUCUCAUCUUGAUCUUCUAUCUCCAGAUUGUCAGUCGGCAUUGUUGUAUACUUAGACGGGAAAGUUGUGAAAGUGCUAGAAUUGUACUCGGGUUUAAGCUUUCCCCAGCCCCUUUUCAUCAAUGGACUCCUGAUGUCUACGAAGGAGUGUGGUUCGUUCGAAAUUCCUACCUCUAUAUCUAUCUCUGAGGUGUUUGGGUUUUGCAAAACUCCAUAGACAUGCAGAAGAGAAAUGCUAUCAACACUACGACCAAGAUACAACUUUUAUCAAAAGUUUUUUGUGAUCUUUUUGUUCAAAUAACAAUUAAGGUGAAGCAGGGUCAGGAACAAUGAAUCUCUUUAUGUCAUAUACCAAUCGCAGCCAAGCCUAAUUUUCCAGUUUGGGGCAUUCAAAGGGCCUUAUGCUAA
rnacentral:rRNA from 1 species